GGUGGGAAGUGUUGCCGUAGGGAAUUCAGGCUCAUAACCUGAAGGUCGUUGGUUCAAAUCCAACUCCCGCAACCA
rnacentral:tRNA from 1 species